rnacentral:rRNA from 1 species
UGGGGAAUAUUGCACAAUGGGCGCAAGCCUGAUGCAGCCAUGCCGCGUGUAUGAAGAAGGCCUUCGGGUUGUAAAGUACUUUCAGCGGGGAGGAAGGUGGUAAGGUUAAUAACCUUGGCAAUUGACGUUACCGACAGAAGAAGCACCGGCUAACUCCGUGCCAGCAGCCGCGGUAAUACGGAGGGUGCAAGCGUUAAUCGGAAUUACUGGGCGUAAAGCGCACGCAGGCGGUUGAUUGAGUCAGAUGUGAAAUCCCCGGGCUCAACCUGGGAACUGCAUUCGAAACUGGCAGGCUAGAGUCUUGUAGAGGGGGGUAGAAUUCCAGGUGUAGCGGUGAAAUGCGUAGAGAUCUGGAGGAAUACCGGUGGCGAAGGCGGCCCCCUGGACAAAGACUGACGCUCAGGUGCGAAAGCGUGGGGAGCAAACAGG